CCUCCAUCCACCGCUUGCCUUUCUGGGUCUGUCACUUCUUCACUCCACUUUCCCUGCUCCCCAAUACUUUAGGAGAGCCCAAAGCAGAAUCCAGCCUUGGGUCUGCCAUAAGCGGGCCCCCAAAGUGGCAGCUUCUCUCCUCUUUGGGAUGUUUGGCAUCAGCCUCUUCCUCGUUCUGUGUGUCGCCCGCUUCCUUCUUCUACCUGGAAUGAGCCAACAAGCUUCCAAACUUCUUCUAGGGAAGAAGGAAAGGGUCUGUGGUAGAGUCUGCUGAAUCAGCAAGUAGAGAUACACCCUUGAGCAGAGGCGUUUCUAGGGAAAAUAGCGCCUAGGGCAAGCACUGAAAUUGCACCCCCUGUCCAAACAUCCAACACCUAUCUUUCAGAUAACUUUACCAUAAUAUCAGCUCAAAAAUAAAAGUCAAGCUCGUUAAUCUUUUAAUAUUUCAAAAACAAUUUAGCUGUGGACGUAGCCA